rnacentral:rRNA from 1 species
GUGAGGAAUAUUGGACAAUGGGCGGAAGCCUGAACCAGCCAUCCCGCGUGCAGGAAGACGGCCCUAUGGGUUGUAAACUGCUUUUCCAGGGGGCGAAACUUUCCGAUGUAUCGGGAUUUGACGGUACCCUGGGAAUAAGCAUCGGCUAACUCCGUGCCAGCAGCCGCGGUAAUACGGAGGAUGCGAGCGUUAUCCGGAUUUAUUGGGUUUAAAGGGUGCGUAGGCGGAUCGAUAAGUCAGUGGUGAAACCCUGCAGCUUAACUGUAGACUUGCCGUUGAUACUGUUGGUCUUGAGUGUGGUCAAGGUAGGCGGAAUGUGUAAUGUAGCGGUGAAAUGCUUAGAUAUUACACAGAACACCGAUUGCGAAGGCAGCUUACUGGGCCAUUACUGACGCUGAUGCACGAAAGCGUGGGGAUCGAACAGGAUUAGAAACCCUGGUAGUCC